ACGGAGGGUGCAAGCGUUAUUCGGAAUCACUGGGCGUAAAGAGCGCGUAGGCGGGUAUACAAGUCAGAAGUGAAAUCCUAUAGCUUAACUAUAGAACUGCUUUUGAAACUGUAUAACUAGAAUAUAGGAGAGGUAGAUGGAAUUUCUGGUGUAGGGGUGAAAUCCGUAGAUAUCGGGAGGAAUACCGAUGGCGAAGGCGAUUUACUGGAAUAAUACUGACGCUGAGGCGCGAAAGCGUGGGGAGCAAACAG
rnacentral:rRNA from 1 species